AGCAGCAGCAGCAGCAGCAGGUUCACACGAACGAACGCCAUUUUUGUCUGCCGUUCAAGAUUCGACCGUUCCGUAAGGCAAGCUCGCCAGCAGCAUCGGUAAAAGCAAAAAAGUUUAAAAAAAGCAAGAAGAAAAAAGAGUUAUCCGUGUCCCGUAAUUCCGUCGUGUGUCCGCGACCGAUUCUACCCCUUUCCCAAGAGUGACUUUUCUGUUCUUCUGUAAUAAUCCAGCUAGAGAAGGAGAGAGUGAGUGUGUGCGCGCGACCUAGAAUCGCAAAAGAGUUCCAUUUUGUAGAGCAGCCAGCAGCAAAAAGAGUCGCGGUUGCCCAUUGUCCGCGCGAGGAGGCCGCGACGACGAAAAAUCCGCAAACGUCAUCUUCGCUGCUCCAACACACACCCCAAUCCGACGUCGUCGUCGUGCUCCACGUACACGGCGAGAACGUGAGCGGAGGAGGAGGCGCCACCCCUCACCGUGUGUAAAGUGGAAGUGGCCAAAUCAGCACAAAGCAAAGAGAGGUUCCCCGGAAGUGGUGGAAAGUGAACGUCCAAGCGGAUUGUGGAAAAAGAACAAAUAAGCUCCCUGCCGGACCGUUCAGCGUUGGCCACAAGAGUCAGCGAAAACGCAAGAGAGAUAGAGAGUGCUAAUCUAGCCCAGCAACGAUCCAGCAAACCGACAACCUCUUCCUAACCAGAAGACGAAGCGUACUUUGCGCGCAACCAACAAGCAAGCCCAAAGUGCAAACCUUGGACUUGGUUGAGGUGCGCAAGAGGCUUCCACACUUUUUCGCUGAUGAAGAUUCUCUACCAGCAUGAAUGCAUUGGGGGGAACUAGGGGGGAGCGAAAUGCAAAGCCCAAAUUCGCAGCGUUAGACAUCAACAAGCUCUACAGCACCAGUCGGGGAGAAUCUCUUGAACCAUCCACUCAGAAAAGCGCCGCUCCUCGUAAACAUGGAAUGCAAAGUUUGGGAAAGGUUCCCUCGGCUCGUCGCCCUCCCGCAAACCUGCCGUCUCUGAAGGCCGAAAUUUCGUCACCGUCGGAUCCGCAGGGCACCUGGGCAAACGAGUCAGGCGACAACCAGAACAACAACCAACAGCAAAGCAACAACAGCAGCAACAACAACUCUAGUAUUACCGCAGCGGUGACGCCAGGUGGCGGCGGCAGCACAAACAACAACAGCAACUCUAUAGCUUCUUCUUCACACCACCACCACCAACACCACCAGCAGCAGCAGCAGCAGCAUCAGAGCCAGCAUCUUCAUCAUCAUCAGCAGCAGCAGCAUCAUCCCCACUCGAACGCUUCUUCCUCAUCACAAUGGAGUUCGAACGAGUUCCCCUCCCUGGAUGGAGCUGGUCAGUAUGGUCCGAGCGGCAAGCAGCAGCAGCAUCACCACCAUCAUCACGAUGGCGUCGACGGCGGCAACCGGUCGUCGACGAACCAGCAGCAGUACAUGGAUCACGGUGGGCCGCAGGUGAGUCUGAGACCGCAGACGGACGCAGCGAGUUGGAUGCAGCAGCAGCAGCAAGGCGGCAACGCUGGCAACGCCGCCGGUAUGAACGGGCCAAACAGCAACCAAGCGGGCCCGGGCCACCAACAGCAGCAAGCUCCGUUACCGCCGCAGUUCCGUGCGCUGAUGCCACCGUUCAUGUAUCGUGGCAGCGGAGGCGCAGGUGGAAGUUCCGGAUCGCCACCGCCCCCGUCGGACGGUCCACGCUCGUCGGGACCGAUGAACGACGACCGGGACAAUCGUGGAAUGCGAAACAACAGCGGUGGAGGCGGAGGCGGAUACAACAGUAUGCUACCGAGCUUCGUCUCGGGCGGCGGCAGCGGCACGAAUCAUCAUCAAUCUCAUGGAUCAAACUAUUCGCCGACGCAGUCGGGUGGUAGAUAUCGUGACUCGUACGGCGGAGGUGGUGGCGGCCGUGGACCCCGCGGACAAAUGCAACCUCCUAGGUUGGCGAACCGGCAGCAGCGAGACCAGCACCGGGAUCACGACGAUCACCGGCGGGACUCUUCGUCGGCGGCCGCUCCGUUCAUGGAGCCGGAGGUUGUCGUUCAGCGGCCCAUCAUCCGGGACGAGGAGCUGCAGCGCAUCGAGGCGAUCGCCAAGGACGAGGGGGGCUGGGCCAAGGACGACGAGUUUGACUACAACCAGAAGCUACAGUUUUCGGACGACGAGUCGGAACCGAGCCCGCCCAAGGAGAUUGCGGCGCCGCAGGUCAGCAAGCAGCAACUGCAGCAGCAGGAGCAGAAGAGAUCUGUCCAGGUUGAAAGGCAACAACAGCAACAGGUUCAACAGCAACAACAACAGCAUCAACAACAACAGCAUCAACAACAGCAGCAACAACAUCAGCAACAGCACCACCAAGAAGAGGACAAGCGCAUGGCUUGGAGUCGCGAGGUGGAACGCGAACAGGACCGGCUGGAGCAGGAGCAACGCGAGCGCGAACGUCAGGAGCGUGAAUCGGCCGUUCGUCAACCGCCGCCACCGUCCUCGCAACAGAAUGGUCACGUUGGCGUCGGAGGUCGUGGACUGGACGCCGAGGCCAAGGAACGGCUCAAGUUGCGACGCGAGGAGGACCAGCGGAGGGAGAUGGAACGCAAGCAGGCCGCGGCCCGAAAGCUGCAGGAGCUGGAGCAAAAGCUGAAGAGUAAGAAGGGUGAGGACGGCGGGCCGGGGUCUUCUCCGGUCAAGGACGAUCAGGAGGAGCAGCAGCAGCACGAUCAGCAGCCGUCGGCUGCAACUUACAGCGAAUCGAGCGAUGGAAAGGAUCGUAGCGGAUCGAGUAAUCGCGAUCGAGGCGGCGAUCAGAAGGAUUUUAGAGAUCAACGGUACGAGUACGGAAGGCACGAUCGGUACGGUGGAGAACGAGGAGGUGAUCGCGGAGGUGAUCGAGGUGGCGAUCGCGGUGGUGAUCGUGACGGCGCCUGGGACAAUCCGCCGUUUUCGAAGAACUUCCAAACGAAUCUACCGCCGAGAUUCCAGAAGCGUAAGCUGGAGCGAAAUCCUUCCGGAAACAGUCUGCAGGGAAGUCAACCGCAGGGUGUUGGUUACGGUGGUCGCGAUCAGAACAAUAGUCGCAGCACUGCCAGCAAUCAUGGUCCACCGGCUCAGCAGCAGCAGCAGCAGGGUGACGGCAAGAGCGUUCCGUUUGCGCAGCAGUACGAUCCGCGGUUCAUCCACACCCAGCAGAACUACGGCAAGGGUCAACCGGUGGGUCAACAGCAGCGCCGGGGAAUGGAUCGUGGCGAUCGGGACGAUCGUGACCGCGGUGACAUGGUCCCGCGGGAAAUCAUGAAGCGACGCAUCGACUCCGAGGAGGACGAUCGCUUCAGCAGCAGUGGCCGAGAGUCGUCCAGCAAGAUGAGCGGAGGCGGUGGCCGUACAACGCCGCAGCUGAACCGAAGCGUAUCGGAUACGUCGCAACGCAAGACGAGCGUUUCGAGCGAUGACAACAGCCAUCGCCAGCACGAUCAUCAGCCGCAGCAGCAGCAGCAGAUCAUCAUUGGAUCUUGGGAGAGCGAGGCGGAAAAGGAGGAUCGUCGACUGGCGGAGGCAGCCGCUGCGUUGGCCAAGGAGAACCAGAUGCAGCAGUUCCAGCAGCAGCAGCACGAUUCGCGUAGAAUUUCGGAAUCGUCUGCGGUUUCGGAGAGCGAGCCUAAGCAGAUUCUUCAGCGGAUCAAGGAAACUCCGGACAAGCUGGAGUCUUUGAAGGUUGAUGAUCAGAAGCCAAACGAACCUGUUCGACUGCUUUCGAAGCCUUGGGAAGAUUCGGUAGAAGCUGCGGAGGAAGCGUCCAAGUCACUCGACGUGAGCGCAACCUCGCUGGACACGACGACGGACAAGAAGGACGCUUCCGGAUCGGAUGCUGGCAAGAAUGACAGCAGCGUGUCCGCCGAGAACAAGAUGAACACUUCCCAGGGCAGUGCUGCCAGCGGAAAGGAGUCGGAUGACGGUGGCAAGUACGGAUCGAAGAAGCCACUUCAACAGUCCCGGGGAGGACGUCACGAAUCGCGUGGCGGAGGUCAUCCCCGAGGAGGUUACGGUUCCGGAUCCGGAUUCCAUCGUGGUGGUGGAGGCGGAGGCGGCGGCGGAAGCAGUUGGAGUCGUCGAGGCGGUCCUUCCGGAGGUUCCCGCAUGGGUCACGGACGUAACUACAACCAGGACUAUUGGAGCGAGUCGGAUUUGACCGACGAAGGGGACGAGGAUGUUAGGAAGGAUCGCAAAGAGGGCGGUCACUACCGCAACAGCGGAACCGGUGGACAGGGACAGAACCUUAAGGAAGGGUUCGCGCCCCGCGGAGAACCGUCUCGUAGGGGACGCGGUGCAGGAAUGGCCGCGAGUGUCCCAGGCUUCCGUAGCAAGGCAGCACCGGUUGGCAAAAAGAUCGAAGGUUACGGACCACCGAGUUCCAAGAGUCCGUUCGGAAGUAACGAGGACAAGUCGGACUCCAAGCCGCAAGCGGCCAAGGACGGUUCAAAACCAGCUCCGGAACAAACUGCGGACGAUCGGACGAAGCAGAAGCAAGCGGCGCUCAGCGCUGGAUUGACCAACAAACCGCUGGGAGGACCCAAGCCAGGAUCUCUCCCGCAGCGAAGUCCUUCCGGAAACAUGAAACCACCGGGCAAGCCGGCCGAAGAAACGCUCUCCGAGCAGGAGAAACUCAAGGCCGCCGAGAAGAAGCCCCGCGCCGACAGCGUCAAAAGCGAAUCUCACGACGAGAAGGUCAUCAAGGAGAAGCCCAAAACGGACAGCGAAAGUCACGCCGACACGGAUGACGGCAAAGACCACAAGGGAGGUCGCGGCAAACAGCAGCAAGUUGUCAAGCAGCAGCAGCAGCCCACCUCCGUCGCACCAGGCAAGUCUUCAGCGCCGGCCAAACCAGCCGUUGUUCCAGCGGCUUCCGCGCCGAAAUCGGCCGCCCCAGCCAUCGUUGGCGUCCAAACCAAGCCGGUCAACCAGCAGCAGCAGCAACAGCAGCCUGCUCGCCCCAAUGCUCUUCCACAACCGGAACCGACUGCCAUCGUAGCAGCCGCGGCCGUAAAUCUACAGCAGCAGCCACAGCCGACGAUACAGGACAAACUGAGCAUAAACAGCAACAACACUUCAAAGACUGAUAAUAGUAAGCAACUCUUGGACGGUGCGACGCCACCGGUGAAUACGAUCAUUUUCGAAAACACAAACUACAAGUCUUCGACGGCGGCGGCCGUCACCGUUACGGUGCAGCAGCAGCAGCAGCAACAUCUUCACCAACAACAACAGCAGCAGCAGCAGAUUCCACCUCCGGUGGUCCAAAUGAAGCGUCAGCACUCUGGCGGUCCGGCCGGACCUUUGGGCGUCCUCCAGCAGCAGCAAAUGGUUCAACGCCACGUUCCAACGCAGGAGGAGGUGUUCAAGGCGGCUACCGGAGUUUCGGUGCCCGGUUCGAUGCAUGAGAUGAUGGAGGCGCAGGCGCAGGCUGCUCAGCAACAACAACAACAACAACAGCAGCAACAGCGACCACCGUCGGCGAAUGGUCCACCGCAACAGGUUCCGCCACCGCAACAGCAGCAGCAACAACAACAGCAACUCCCGCAGCAGCCAAACUCGCAGGCCGAUGCGAUUACGAGUGCGCUGCAGGGCAUGACGUUCCAGAAGCCGACGACGGAAGCGGACUACGACAAGGAGAUGAAGCCGUUCACGUUUGAGUCGGACAUUUCGCAGCUGAUCGAGGCCAAGAACAAGGCCGGUGGGUUGAUUUUGACAAAGCCGGCCCAGAACAUGAUUUCGCCGUCGACGGCGGAGCUGAACAUGAAGAUUGCCAGCGUGAAGAAGGUCUGGGAGAUGCCGUCGGUGCCGGAGCACGCCCCGGAAGAUCCGGCGAGUGCGGCAGCUGCAGCGGCGGCCGUCCAUUUGGCGGCCAACUUUGUUUCGUCGCAGCACCAGCAUCAGCUGCAUCAGUUCCAGCACUCGCACGGCGGACUGUCGCACAGCCAUCCGGCGCAUACGUUGGCAGCGGCCGCAGCAGCUAACCAAUCGUAUGCCUCUGGAUUCGGCCAGGAUCAGCAAUCGCUUGAGCAACAUUACAACAAAGCCGGCAACGAUGGUGGCGUCGUAACGGACGGAGGAGACAACAGCUACGGCAACCAGCAGCACCAGGCCAACAGCGUGCAGCAGCAGCAACAGCAACAGCACCAGGCCAAUGCUAUGAGCAUGAAACACGCGGCCGAAGUACUCGCCAACGCGAACGCUAACGUGUGCAAGGUGAAACCAACCCAGCAGAACAUGCACCAAUCAACGGGACUUGGCCUGUCGCCGCCUCCGAUGCAACAGCAGGGCACGAUCCCGUCGGCCCCACAGCAGACCUACUAUCAACCGUCACAGUACGGAAUGUCCGCCAUUCCGUCACCGCCGGCCGUCAUCUACAACUCGUCGGCCAUGCCAUCCCAGGGUGGUCUCUACAAUGCAUUCCAAAUCGAGGCCGCUGGCCGUUCGCAGUUCUCGCAGUUCCCGGGCCCGUACGGCACAACCGGAACGGCCCCGUAUAACGCGUACAUGACCACACCGCCCAACUUGCAACCAACCGCCCCCACGCCGGACAUGUACCAGACGCUGUCGUCGCAGUUCCGCAUGGGCGGUGCCGUCCAAACCCCGUACAAUCCGUCGCCCUCGCAGCAGCUCAACAACCCGAGCACGAUGCUCAUCUCGUCCAGCACAAACUCACUGAUGUCCUCGUCCGUCAAGCCCUCGUCCCAGCAAAUCGGCGCCAUCGGCUCCAAGUCCGGCUCCGUUGGUCAACCGUACGGUCAGCAGUAUAUGGGCAUGUUCCCCCCAGCCCCACCCCUCCAGAACAACUCGUUCUACUCCAACUCGGCCGGUGGCCAGAGUGCGUUCUUCGGCGGUGCAGGCGCCACCCAAAACUACGGCAUUCAAGCGGCCGCGGCCGGCAUGUUCGGUGGACACGGUGCCCAAACGCCCUCCAAUGCACCGCCUCCGCCGCAGCAGCAGUUGCCGAACUACGCCAACACGUCCCAGUUCCUAACUUCGCCCCUGCUGGCGGCCCAAGCCGCAACUUCCCAGCUGUACCGUGGAGGUCCGAACGGAGGUGGCCCGCAGUCGGCGGCCGCGGCAGCCUACAUGAAGAGCAACCAAUCGCACAUGCAGGAUCCGAACGGUCGACAGCUGAAAAGCCCUUUAAAUUCCGACGGCUUAGCUAACUUGAAACAGAUUCCACCCCAAGCAAGUCCGCCACAUCACAAGGGCUAUGCAACGACAACGUGGGAACUCCAGAACCAGCUGAUGCAGCAACAGCAACAGCAGCAGCAAAAUCAGCAACAAAACGCCCAACAACAGCAGAACCAGCAGCAGCCUAACCCGCAGCAGCAGCAGCACCCGCAACAGCAGCAGCAACCGGGCGCCAACCGGAACAUGAUGCCGCCGAACCAGCAGCAGCAGCAACAGCCCGGAGCAGGCCGGUAUCCGGCGCCGAUCCAGCGGCCGACCAACUACUCGCAGCCGCCGGUUCCGGGAAUGCACCAGCAGCGGCCAAUGCGCCAAUCGAACCACCAGCAGCCCGGUGGAGGUCAACCCGGCCAACCCCCGAACAUGGCCCAGGUCAUGGGCGGCGGCGGAGGUGGCGGCGGAAAUCCGAACAAGCACUACUACGGCGGCCAAGGUGGUGGAAAUCGAGGUGAGUAGACGACAGCAACCGGUCGGUUCUCUCCCUCCUCACUCCACUCCACACUCGAUCACAAUAUCAAUCAAUCAAUCAUCCUCUGCGAGUUGCGUGCGAAAACACGGUCCCCCGGACACCGUAACGAUGGCGGUCACGUGAACGUGAUGAACGAUCAGAACAUGGGCGGCGGCGGUAAACCCGGUGGCAAUGACAAAGUCGUACUAGAUGAUGCGGGCAAGGAUCACGAUUCCAAGAAGAAGUAAAGUGUAAAGAAGAAGAAGCGGUAAUAAAUUGUCAAGUGAACACAAAAGAAAGAAAACAUGGAGUUACUUACAGAGAAAGAGACAAAAUGCACAUUUCAGCUAUGAAAAGGAAAAAACGAAGGCAAGAAAAAAACAAAACAUAGUAGUCUAUCGCAAAUUAUGUAUUAUUGGUAAACAAAACAAAAACAAACAUAUUUAUUAAUUAAAAAAUAGUUGAUGGGACAAAACAAAACAAAAAAACACUGAUACUUCAUAUGAUGACGGGGAGGCAAACUUGUGGUGGAAGUGGAAGAAAAACAUUUGCAGACAGAAAAAAUAUCACCGUAAUAUCGACGUAAAAUAUAACCUUAAACAAACACACACAGCAACAACAAACAAACAUUCACGCGUUACAUUUGUAAGAAUGGAGGAGGAGAAAAAGUAAAAGGCAAACGCAGCUUUGAAGCGCCCUCUUUAUAUUCAGUGAAAUGAAUCGGUUUGACUGAGCUUCACUCUAAACAAUGGCUAACAAAACAAACAAACAAAAAAUCGACUUUGAAUGAUUUUCGGACUUACUUAAGCGAGAUUGCUUGAUUGUUUGAUUGAUUGAGAGGCAGAAAGAGAGAGAAUGUGGUGGUAUUUUUUCUUCUCGCUAGAUUCGUUUUCGCCUGAGUUGCUCUUCUGUGCAAAAGAAGGUGAAAAUUUCGGUUCCUUCUAUUUUUUGGAAGACACACACCCACACAGCCCUAACUAGACACUUUACCCUAGCCGGAAUAAGGAAGCAAGCAAAUAUGCGUAACCUACCCCUAAACUAACCGCCCAACCAAAACCACACAAUUUAACCGUGUUUAUCGUCAAUGCUAAAAUGUUGAGAGAAAGAAAGCUACAAAAUGUGGAGGAAAAUUCUGCGAAUAACGUGGAAUCUAUGCGAGUGCUUGAUGAGGAACAGGGAUUUUCGAAUGAUACAGAACUUGAAAUCAAAUAAUGGAAUAAAACAAGUAAAACAAACAAACAAGCAAGCAGUGGAGGAGAAAAGUGUGUCUACUCAUGAAGACUACUCUAGCUUAAUACAGUUUAAUAAAAGAAAUGAAACACAUAAUUAAUGAAAAUGCAUAUUAUAGCAACUAUAUAUUAAUGAUGAAAGGGAGAAAGUUUCAAAACAAUUACAUUAGUAAUUCACUUUAUUAAUGAAUUAUUCUUAUUAUAAAAUAAAUAUAACAAAACAAACGUAAACUAUAUUUGAGUAUAAUCAUUAUUUGUCGUAAAAUAUAACCUGCGUAAAAUUGAAUGCGAAGAAGGGCGCGCCAGGCAGAAGAGAAACGAGAGAGACCGUCGAGGAGAAGCCUUCAGUUCAGUUUUCAAUUAAUAUAUGAUAAAAACAAGAAACACACACAUUCACAUGCAUUAACACGCAACAAAAGAAGAAAAAAACUUUACUGAAAUCAUGUUCGAUGGAUAAAAAAAUAAACAUAACAAAAAACCCGUAGAAAUUGAUGUAGGUUAAACGCGACAGUGUGUAAGUGAAACUGCAAACUCUUAAACGAAAAUAAAUAAACAAAACUAUGACCUACACACACUACCACAAAAAAUGCUGCAAGAAUGUUACAAUUAGUGAAAAAAAAAACCUGCAAAAACUGACAAAUUGUAACACACUUUGUAGUGGUGCGCGCGCGAGCAUGAGUUUCUUUUAAGUUCUAUAUUUAAAGAAAAAAAAAGUUUUAUUUAUUUUCUACAGUGUAAAAGGUAACCCAAGCUCUGCAUAACAAUUGAGAGAAAUACACAGUAAAGAAAAAAACACACACACACACAUGAAAACUCACGUGCAUAUACAAGAGACAGAUGAAAAUGAAGAGAAAAAAACUCACAAAAACAUUAAACACAACAAACACACGCAAACACAAUAUUAGAAGAUUGAAAUUACUAGAAUGAGAAAAAAGAAAUGUGGCUAGAAGAAUGGUUGAAAACUGAAUAUUAUAAAAAAAGGAAAGUGAAGCUAGCAAGAAGCAUAAGCGAAAAAUGAAAAAAAAAAAAAUAACGAGGGAAUGGCGGUGAAAGCAAACACAAACAAACACACACACAUUAUAAACAAACAAAUGCAAGUAUCUAAAACAAUUCAAACAAACAAAACAAAAAAAAGUUUAUAAAAUUCUGAAAAAUGGCAAGAAAAAAAUAAUAAAAGUCGAUAAACCGAAAAUCUAGGAAAACUAAUAAAA